CUCGCGCGAUCUCUCCAAAAGCUUCUCCUAUUCAAUUCAAUGGCAUCAACAAUCAGGUCAAAACGCCUUGUUUUCCUUGCCUUGCAGCUUCAAUGGUUGCAGAGGGAUCAACCCAUCUUUCAUCCGUCCGAUUCUAGGAAGCUCUCCAUCUCUAAUGGGAGCUCUCUCUGGAGCGCUCUCUCUCUCUCUCUCUCUCUCUCUCUCUCACCUAUACUCUGAUGGGAGUUCACCUUUUUUAUCCGAUCUUGAGCAGCUCUGAAAGAAGGUCGAACCAGACGGUAACCGCUGAUCUAGAUGAGACCCUCCUUGUGUCCCAAAACCCUCUUUCUCUGCUCUUUGAUCCUUCUCCACUGGUUUUCUGAUGCCCUAUUAAUGGCUCUAUUUUUAUAUAUAGAGAAGCAGAGGCAACCAUCAAUCAUCUCUCACCAUCACCUUCAUCUAAUCUCUCUUCUCUGAUUUCAACGGCCUCUGAUCAUAUCCCAUGGGAUUUCUGUGUAUUUCUCUAGAAAGAGCCUUGGAAAUGUCAUAAGGAUUCAAAGUCCAUGCAUCUGUAAGACGUAGCUUGGAGUUGAUUUGGAGAAUUGUAAGAGCUCAUGGAAGGGACAACAAAUUCAUUCCUAGUUUAGAAAUGAAGCUUGCCUAAUUUAUGCUUCAUAUUAGACAUUUUAAAUGAACUUUCAGUAUCGAUACUAUAGGACAUCAGCGAUUGUAAGUCUUGGGCUGAACUAUCUAUCGGUGUGAUAUUUGUAAGUUACUUGUGAUGUUUCUUAUAACUUGAAAUUUUUCUUUUCA